rnacentral:rRNA from 1 species
GACGAACGCUGGCGGCGUGCCUAAUACAUGCAAGUCGAACACAGUGGGGACGGGUGAGUAACACGUGGGUAACCUCCAAUCAGAGGGGAUAACACUUGGAAACAGGUGCUAAACCGAUACUGAUGGAUGAACCCGCGGUGCAUUAGCUAGUUGGUGAGGUAACGGCUCACCAAGGCCACGAUGCAUAGCCGACCUGAGAGGGUGUUCGGCCAAGCUGGGACUGAGACACGGCCCAGACUCCUAUGGGAGGCAGCAGUAGGGAAUCUUAGGAAAUGGACGAAAGUCUGACCGAGCAACGCCGCGUGAGUGAAGAAGGUUUCCGGAUCGUAAAACGCUGUUGUUAGAGAAGCGGUAUCUAACCAGAAAGCCACGGCUAACUACGUGCCAGCAGCCACGGUAAUUC